rnacentral:rRNA from 1 species
ACGGGUGAGUAAUGUCUGGGGAUCUGCCCGAUAGAGGGGGAUAACCACUGGAAACGGUGGCUAAUACCGCAUAACGUCGCAAGACCAAAGAGGGGGACCUUCGGGCCUCUCACUAUCGGGUGAACCCAGAUGGGAUUAGCUAGUAGGCGGGGUAAUGGCCCACCUAGGCGACGAUCCCUAGCUGGUCUGAGAGGAUGACCAGCCACACUGGAACUGAGACACGGUCCAGACUCCUACGGGAGGCAGCAGUGGGGAAUAUUGCACAAUGGGCGCAAGCCUGAUGCAGCCAUGCCGCGUGUAUGAAGAAGGCCUUCGGGUUGUAAAGUACUUUCAGCGGGGAGGAAGGCGAUGCGGUUAAUAACCGCGUCGAUUGACGUUACCCGCAGAAGAAGCACCGGCUAACUCCGUGCCAGCAGCCGCGGUAAUACGGAGGGUGCAAGCGUUAAUCGGAAUUACUGGGCGUAAAGCGCACGCAGGCGGUCUGUUAAGUCAGAUGUGAAAUCCCCGGGCUUAACCUGGGAACUGCAUUUGUAACUGGCAGGCUUGAGUCUUGUAGAGGGGGGUAGAAUUCCAGGUGUAGC